AGCAGUGGGGAAUUUUGGACAAUGGGCGCAAGCCUGAUCCAGCAAUGCCGCGUGAGUGAAGAAGGCCUUCGGGUUGUAAAGCUCUUUUGUCAGGGAAGAAACGGUGAGGGCUAAUAUCUCUUGCUAAUGACGGUACCUGAAGAAUAAGCACCGGCUAACUACGUGCCAGCAGCCGCGGUAAUACGUAGGGUGCAAGCGUUAAUCGGAAUUACUGGGCGUAAAGCGUGCGCAGGCGGUUUUGUAAGUUUGUCGUGAAAGCCCCGGGGCUCAACCUGGGAAUUGCGAUGAAGACUGCAAGGCUUGAAUCUGGCAGAGGGGGGUAGAAUUCCACGUGUAGCAGUGAAAUGCGUAGAGAUGUGGAGGAACACCGAUGGCGAAGGCAGCCCCCUGGGUCAAGAUUGACGCUCAUG
rnacentral:rRNA from 1 species